rnacentral:rRNA from 1 species
GACAUAGGUCGCAAACGUUAUCCGGAAUUAUUGGGCGUAAAGGCUGCGUAGAUGGUUCAGUAAGUUACUGGUGGGAAAUCGAGGCCCAACCUCGUGGAAGUUAGUAAUACUGUUGAACUUGAGUGCAGGAGAGGUUAACGGAACUUCAUGUGGAGCGGUAAAAUGCGUAGAUAUAUGAAAGAACAUCAAUAUGGCGAAGGCAGUUAACUAUUCUGCUACUGACAUUGAGGCAUGAAAGCGUGGGGAGCAAAACGG